rnacentral:lncRNA from 1 species
AUCAACUGUGAUCACAUAAUUUCCUCAAGGAUUAAUAAAGAAUUAUGAUUUUUUUUUUUUUUGUAAUAUACCUGCAGCAGAAGGAGUUAACACAGAAUAUAAAGCUUUUAUUACUGGAGAUUUUAUAAGUAACAUUUGUUUCAAAAAGAACAUUGAGGCUUUUGUUUACAGCUGAGCUAAUGAAGCAAGAAUUUCAGCCACAUCACAGAACAGCUGACAGUUAGGCUCUGUGAUGGGGUGUGCUCUCAGAUACAGUAGACGCUUGGGCAUGAAUGCCACAGGCUGACAUCCGAGGCUGUACUUCCUGUGUAAAUUCAGUCACGGUCAGAUCUGUUUUCCCCGCUUCAUCAUCGUAAGAUCACAAAUUGUAUACCUGCAAUAUUGUCGGGAUGUUACGCCUCGGGAGUGAGAACGGGCUCGAUUUCAUACACAUUUAAGACAUUAUUACAUGCCGCUGUCACAGAAAGAAAGACAUCACCAAACCCACGCGUGUCAAAUAUGUUUGUGCCAUGUUUACAAGCAUAAUGCACUCUAACAGUUCCCCAAUGUGGACAAACACUAAACAGAAGAGUCUUUUGGCAGAACAAUAAUAGAGCGUCUUCUUCUCACCUCUUAGUUUGAAACGACCCUCUGAUUACUUUUAUUAAAUUACAGGCAAUACCCCUACGGUUAUUUUAUUUUUUUGUUUUUGUUUUUGUUUUUUUCAAGAAGACGGAAACGUGACCACACCCUUUUACAUUCCAGGCAACCGUGAGAAAUUGACGUUUCCGUGGUGUUGUACAGUUUCUGAGGCUUUAGCAUCCGGUCAGUUUCUUCCUUUGACUUCCACCGCUGUGCGCAUCUGGGAGCAUUCCAGAAACAAACCUCAGGACUCCAAGAUGCUUCGUGGUUUCCACACUGAGGGCCUCCUUAUUCUGUUACUCUCAUUUCAAAGUAAAUUACAGCAUCUUCCAUGAACACCUCUGCAUUGAUUAUUUGAUUCCUGUACAAGUUGUCACUGAUGCUGAUGUCAUUUCCUGACAUUUGAUUUUAACUAGUUAUUGUAUUGAGUGUCUUAUCUGUGAUGAUGGGCUCACUACAAAAGACUUUAUUAGUCAAGUUUAGUCUAGUGGAUCCACU